rnacentral:rRNA from 1 species
CCUACGGGAGGCAGCAGUAGGGAAUUUUCGUCAAUGGGCGCAAGCCUGAACGAGCGAUGCCGCGUGAGUGAAGAAGGCCUUCGGGUCGGAAAGCUCUGUUGCGGGGGAAAAAAGGCAGCAUCAGGAAAUGGGUGCUGGCUGAUGGUGCCCCGCCAGAAAGUCACGGCUAACUACGUGCCAGCAGCCGCGGUAAUACGUAGGUGGCGAGCGUUAUCCGGAAUGAUUGGGCGUAAAGGGUGCGCAGGCGGUCCUGCAAGUCCGGAGUGAAACGCAUGAGCUCAACUCAUGCAUGGCUUUGGAAACUGGAGGACUGGAGAGCAGGAGAGGGCGGUGGAACUCCAUGUGUAGCGGUAAAAUGCGUAGAUAUAUGGAAGAACACCAGUGGCGAAGGCGGCCGCCUGGCCUGUUGCUGACGCUGAGGCACGAAAGCGUGGGGAGCAAAUAGGAUUAGAUACCCUUGUAGUC